UGACCUGUGAUGGGAUGGGGGUGCGGGAGC
rnacentral:piRNA from 1 species